rnacentral:rRNA from 1 species
AGCGAACGCUGGCGGCAGGCCUAACACAUGCAAGUCGAACGAAGUCUUCGGACUUAGUGGCGGACGGGUGAGUAACACGUGGGAACGUGCCUUUAGGUUCGGAAUAACUCAGGGAAACUUGUGCUAAUACCGAAUGUGCCCUUCGGGGGAAAGAUUUAUCGCCUUUAGAGCGGCCCGCGCCUGCUUAACUAGUUGGUGAGGUAAAGGCUCACCAAGGCUACGAUCAGUAGCUGGUCUGAGAGGAUGACCAGCCACAUUGGGACUGAGACACGGCCCAAACUCCUACGGGAGGCAGCAGUGGGGAAUCUUGCGCAAUGGGCGAAAGCCUGACGCAGCCAUGCCGCGUGGAUGAUGAAGGUCUUAGGAUUGUAAAAUCCUUUCACCGGUGAAGAUAAUGACUGUAGCCGGAGAAGAAGCCCCGGCUAACAUCGUGCCAGCCGCCGCCGUAA